UAGAGUUUGAUCCUGGCUCAGAUUGAACGCUGGCGGCAGGCCUAACACAUGCAAGUCGAGCGGAUGAAGAGAGCUUGCUCUCUGAAUCAGCGGCGGACGGGUGAGUAAUGCCUAGGAAUCUGCCUGGUAGUGGGGGACAACGUUUCGAAAGGAACGCUAAUACCGCAUACGUCCUACGGGAGAAAGCAGGGGACCUUCGGGCCUUGCGCUAUCAGAUGAGCCUAGGUCGGAUUAGCUAGUAGGUGAGGUAAUGGCUCACCUAGGCGACGAUCCGUAACUGGUCUGAGAGGAUGAUCAGUCACACUGGAACUGAGACACGGUCCAGACUCCUACGGGAGGCAGCAGUGGGGAAUAUUGGACAAUGGGCGAAAGCCUGAUCCAGCCAUGCCGCGUGUGUGAAGAAGGUCUUCGGAUUGUAAAGCACUUUAAGUUGGGAGGAAGGGCAGUAAGUUAAUACCUUGCUGUUUUGACGUUACCAACAGAAUAAGCACCGGCUAACUUCGUGCCAGCAGCCGCGGUAAUACGAAGGGUGCAAGCGUUAAUCGGAAUUACUGGGCGUAAAGCGCGCGUAGGUGGUUCAGCAAGUUGGAGGUGAAAUCCCCGGGCUCAACCUGGGAACUGCCUCCAAAACUACUGAGCUAGAGUACGGUAGAGGGUAGUGGAAUUUCCUGUGUAGCGGUGAAAUGCGUAGAUAUAGGAAGGAACACCAGUGGCGAAGGCGACUACCUGGACUGAUACUGACACUGAGGUGCGAAAGCGUGGGGAGCAAACAGGAUAAGAUACCCUGGUAGUCCACGCCGUAAACGAUGUC
rnacentral:rRNA from 1 species